rnacentral:rRNA from 1 species
UACGGGGGGAGCAAGCGUUGUUCGGAUUUACUGGGCGUAAAGGGCGCGUAGGCGGCCACCGCAAGUCGGUUGUGAAAUCUCUGGGCUUAACCCAGAAAGGUCAACCGAUACUGCGGGGCUAGAGUGCAGAAGGGGCAACUGGAAUUCUCGGUGUAGCGGUGAAAUGCGUAGAUAUCGAGAGGAACACCUGCGGCGAAGGCGGGUUGCUGGACUGACACUGACGCUGAAGCGCGAAAGCUAGGGGAGCGAACGGG